GUUGACUGGUGCCCAACUGGUUUCAAGUGCGGUAUCAACUACCAGCCACCAACAGUAGUACCUGGAGGUGAUCUUGCUAGGGUGCAGCGUGCUGUUUGUAUGAUUAGCAACAAUACAGCUGUAGCUGAGGUUUUCUCUCGAAUUGACCACAAAUUUGAUCUCAUGUAUGCCAAGCGAGCAUUUGUGCACUGGUAUGUGGGUGAAGGCAUGGAGGAAGGUGAAUUUUCAGAAGCUCGUGAAGAUCUUGCUGCCCUUGAGAAAGAUUAUGAGGAAGUCGGUGCUGAAGGUGCUGAAGAUGAGGAUGAAGGAGAAGACUAUUGAAAUAGGCUUUCUCUGAGUCAUGAGCAGAUGUAUGCCCUUUAUUUCCUGUCUCUUGUUUUUCAGCCCAUGUAUUGUAAAGAGAAUCAUCCAUGUCAGUGAUUGCUGAAUUGUAUCUCUAUUGUGUUUUAGCUCUGUACUUAAUGGUGUUUUUGAAGCAUGGUUUGAAAUUGUAUCAUUUCAGUCCUGUUUAAUAGGGCUAGUGAAUGCCAAUAAAGAUACAAUUCAGCAAUCACUGACAUGGA
rnacentral:misc_RNA from 1 species